rnacentral:lncRNA from 1 species
CACAUUUGAAUAACGUCCUGACCUACCCCAAAAAAGAAUCAUGGCAAAAUGCACUAACAGCAUUAAAUUUACAUCUUAAUUGGAGGAACCUUGUAAUGUACAUUACUAUUACACAUUUUUUCGGAUAAAGUACUUGGGUACUGAUCAUAGUUACCAGGAGCGCCCAUGUAGGGGUCCACUUCCGCCCCAAAAUCUCGAUCCCGCGCUCAGAGUGACCGGAUAUCAAUUCCAGGCGCUUCCUUGCUUAUUCGGAUCUCGU